rnacentral:rRNA from 1 species
GGGUUGUGAGGUUAAGCGACUAAGCGUACACGGUGGAUGCCUAGGCAGUCAGAGGCGAUGAAGGGCGUGCUAAUCUGCGAUAAGCGUCGGUAAGGUGAUAUGAACCGCAACAACCGACGAUACCCGAAUGGGGAAACCCAGUGUGCUCCGGCACACUAUCAUGUCAUGAAUACAUAGUGGCAUGAGGCGAACCGGGGGAACUGAAACAUCUAAGUACCCCGAGGAAAAGAAAUCAACCGAGAUUCCCCCAGUAGCGGCGAGCGAACGGGGAACAGCCCAGAACCUGAAUCAGUUUGUGCAUUAGUGGAAGCGUCUGGAAAGUCGCAGGGUACAGGGUGAUACUCCCGUACACAAAAAUGCACUUGCUGUGAGUUCGAUGAGUAGGGCGGGACACGUGACAUCCUGUCUGAAUAUGGGGGGACCAUCCUCCAAGGCUAAAUACUCCUGACUGACCGAUAGUGAACCAGUACCGUGAGGGAAAGGCGAAAAGAACCCCGGCGAGGGGAGUGAAAAAGAACCUGAAACCGUGUACGUACAAGCAGUGGGAGCACCUUCGUGGUGUGACUGCGUACCUUUUGUAUAAUGGGUCAGCGACUUAUAUUCUGUAGCAAGGUUAACCGUAUAGGGGAGCCGCAGGGAAACCGAGUCUUAACUGGGCGUUAAGUUGCAGGGUAUAGACCCGAAACCCGGUGAUCUAGCCAUGGGCAGGUUGAAGGUUGGGUAACACUAACUGGAGGACCGAACCGACUAAUGUUGAAAAAUUAGCGGAUGACUUGUGGCUGGGGGUGAAAGGCCAAUCAAACCGGGAGAUAGCUGGUUCUCCCCGAAAGCUAUUUAGGUAGCGCCUCGUGAACUCAUCUCCGGGGGUAGAGCACUGUUUCGGCUAGGGGGCCAUCCCGGCUUACCAACCCGAUGCAAACUGCGAAUACCGGAGAAUGUUAUCACGGGAGACACACGGCGGGUGCUAACGUCCGUCGUGAAGAGGGAAACAACCCAGACCGCCAGCUAAGGUCCCAAAGUCAUGGUUAAGUGGGAAACGAUGUGGGAAGGCACAGACAGCCAGGAUGUUGGCUUAGAAGCAGCCAUCAUUUAAAGAAAGCGUAAUAGCUCACUGGUCGAGUCGGCCUGCGCGGAAGAUGUAACGGGGCUAAACCAUGCACCGAAGCUGCGGCAGCGAUACG